GAACGUGAUGGCAUGACCAAAUUGAUGCAUGAGGUGUAACAUAAGGGACUAAUAAUGUCAACAAAAUAUAUAUAUAUAUAUAAAUGACCAAAGGUGAUAAUUUGACAAACCUUAGGAACCAUUUGUGAUAUAAAAUAUUUUUAAAAUAAAUAAAAUAGACUAAAAAAUGAAAUAAAUAAAUAAAUAAUACAUAUUGGGUUGAGGCUCCGACUAGCCCGACAGUCAACCUUCCAAUGUGGCAUCCCCAUCACUGUGGCUUCUUUCUCUCACAGUACUUUGAAUUUUGAAUGCAUUCACCAUUGGUUAUUUGGUUUGAAACUUUGAAUAUCUUGUCCUUCAUUAUCCUUGUGCUAGAUUUCAAUUCCAACUCAUAUGCAUCUAAUGAAGAA
rnacentral:lncRNA from 1 species